GUCUAUGCCCAUACCACUCUGAAUGUGCCUGAUCUUGUCUGAUCUCUGAAUCUAAGCAGGGUUGGGUCUGGUUAGUGCUUGUAUGGGAGAGAUAAAGGAACCAAAGAGAUUAUUCAGACC
rnacentral:rRNA from 1 species